rnacentral:lncRNA from 1 species
CUGGUGUCUGCGAAGCUCGCGAGGGAAGGUCAGGGGCUGCCGCCGCCGAGGUCUUGGAUGGCUUCCGUGUUUUUCCCAACUCUUUUUCCAGUUAGGAUAUCGCAUUGCAUUUGGCCAUCGUUGCUCCUUAGUCUCCUCCCGGCUGACAGCUCCUCAGUCUUCCUGGGUCUUUCACAACCCUGACGCUUUUGAAGAUACUGGUCAGUGAUGGAGGGAUUUCCAACCUAGUGUUAUGGGUGUGGCUGAACACAUCAUACCCGACACUGGACACGUGAGAUCCAUAGCAGUUUAUUAGUAACACUGACUCACAGCCUGUGGGAGGAGGACACUAUGCACCAGGUGGAGCCUCAUGGGUGCCACGCUCUGGAAGCGAGUGAAGAAGCAGGGGCUGUGGGCGGGCAGUCUUUGCAGUAACGAGAGGAUGAAGUGACCCUUGGUUCCCCUGGGAGAAUGUAAUUGGCUUGUCUGCGUAAUUCUCUGGGCUGGUGGGGAACUGAAACCUGCUACUCAGGGAUGAGCAGGCACAGUGCCUAGUUCCCGUGAUAAGGAAGAUUCUUUGGCUAAGGAGCCUUAUUCGUGCAAGCACAAUAAGGAGGAGAACCUGUGGUUAGGCCAUUUGAGGCCCUCUGGAUUUUCCCCAGAUGUUAAGGCAUACAUGUUAUUGGGCCUUAAUUUUAGGUCUUAUGCCACAAUACUGCAAAAGUGAUUUUGCUCCCUUCUCUGUGCCUCAUGUCAGGGGUAUGUGAUGUCCUUAGGUUGUAUUACUGAUGAUAUUCAGCUUGAUCUCUUGAUUAAGAUGGUGGCAAUUAUGUUGCUCCAUUGUAAUGGUACUAUUUUCCCAUUGGUAAGUGAUAAAUAUCAUGUGGGCAAUACUUUAAGACCAUGAAAAUACCGUGUUUCUCCUCAAACUUUUGCUCGCUACUUUUAUAAUCCAUUACCUAAUGGUGACUUUCUGUUUUCCUCAUUCCUGCUACAUUUAUUCAUUGGAGUUCUCCUGAAAAGCUG